GUUCAGCAGUAGCAAAAUUGGUAGAGCAUGAGACUCUUUUUUUCAGGGUCAUGGGUUCAAGCCCCACGUUGGGCA